UUAGGCAAAAAAAAAAAUAUGUGGGUUUCCGGUUUCUUCUUAUAAAAACUUAGGUAGGGUAGGUCGGUUUUAACUUUUUUUUUUUUAACUUUUUUUUUAAUUUUCCGAACAAGCGGACGCCAUUUUGUUUAGUCAGUGCUUCCACAUCCAAAGAUAAAUUUCCCUAAUAUUGCCUCAAAUUUCAAUUUUCUACAAACUUUUUCCUCUAAGUGGAAACACUUACAA